UACGUAGGUGGCAAGCGUUGUUCGGAAUUAUUGGGCGUAAAGGGCGCGUAGGCGGUCGGUUAAGUCAGCUGUGAAAGCCCGGGGCUCAACCCCGGAGGGUCGGCUGAUACUGAUUGACUAGAGUACGGAAGAGGUAGCUGGAAUUCCCGGUGUAGCGGUGAAAUGCGUAGAUAUCGGGAAGAACAUCGGUGGCGAAGGCGGCCAGCUGGGCCAUUGCUGACGCUGAGGCGCGACAGCGUGGGGAGCAAACAGG
rnacentral:rRNA from 1 species